rnacentral:rRNA from 1 species
UGUGAGUAGCGAAAGACGGGUGAGAAUCCCGUCCACCGAUUGACUAAGGUUUCCAGAGGAAGGCUCGUCCGCUCUGGGUUAGUCGGGUCCUAAGCUGAGGCCGACAGGCGUAGGCGAUGGAUAACAGGUUGAUAUUCCUGUACCACCUAUAAUCGUUUUAAUCGAUGGGGGGACGCAGUAGGAUAGGCGAAGCGUGCGAUUGGAUUGCACGUCUAAGCAGUAAGGCUGAGUAUUAGGCAAAUCCGGUACUCGUUAAGGCUGAGCUGUGAUGGGGAGAAGACAUUGUGUCUUCGAGUCGUUGAUUUCACACUGCCGAGAAAAGCCUCUAGAUAGAAAAUAGGUGCCCGUACCGCAAACCGACACAGGUAGUCAAGAUGAGAAUUCUAAGGUGAGCGAGCGAACUCUCGUUAAGGAACUCGGCAAAAUGACCCCGUAACUUCGGGAGAAGGGGUGCUCUUUAGGGUUAACGCCCAGAAGAGCCGCAGUGAAUAGGCCCAAGCGACUGUUUAUCAAAAACACAGGUCUCUGCUAAACCGUAAGGUGAUGUAUAGGGGCUGACGCCUGCCCGGUGCUGGAAGGUUAAGAGGAGUGGUUAGCUUCUGCGAAGCUACGAAUCGAAGCCCCAGUAAACGGCGGCCGUAACUAUAACGGUCCUAAGGUAGCGAAAUUCCUUGUCGGGUAAGUUCCGACCCGCACGAAAGGCGUAACGAUUUGGGCACUGUCUCAACGAGAGACUCGGUGAAAUCAUAGUACCUGUGAAGAUGCAGGUUACCCGCGACAGGACGGAAAGACCCCGUGGAGCUUUACUGUAGCCUGAUAUUGAAAUUCGGCACAGCUUGUACAGGAUAGGUAGGAGCCUUUGAAACGUGAGCGCUAGCUUACGUGGAGGCGCUGGUGGG